AAUCUUCUCAAAUCUAAAAAAUCUACAAUUCAAUUCAGCACUCACACUCUUGGCCCUCCUUCUGCUCGAUUGUCUCAGUCUGAUUCCUUUUUAAAUGUUGGGACUCCAUUUUACCAGGAUGGAGAACUCAGAGUUUACCUGUACUGGAAAAAAGACCCUUCAGAGUUUUACAAAGUCCAGUGGAGUCCUGAACACUGCAGCCACAACCUGACCAAAGAGAUGCAGAAAACUGUCAC